UGGGGAAUUUUGGACAAUGGGGGCAAGCCCUGAUCCAGCCAUGCCGCGUGUGUGAAGAAGGCCUUCGGGUUGUAAAGCACUUUCGGACGGUAACGAAAUCGCGCAGAUCUAAUAAGCCGCGUGGAUGACGGUACCGUAAGAAUAAGCACCGGCUAACUACGUGCCAGCAGCCGCGGUAAUACGUAGGGUGCAAGCGUUAAUCGGAAUUACUGGGCGUAAAGCGUGCGCAGGCGGUUUUGUAAGUCUGACGUGAAAUCCCCGGGCUCAACCUGGGAAUUGCGUUGGAGACUGCAAGGCUGGAGUCUGGCAGAGGGGGGUAGAAUUCCACGUGUAGCAGUGAAAUGCGUAGAGAUGUGGAGGAACACCGAUGGCGAAGGCAGCCCCCUGGGUCAAGACUGACGCUCAUGCACGAAAGCGUGGGGAGCAAACA
rnacentral:rRNA from 1 species